UCGCUCAUCGGAUAAAUGCUACCCCGGGGAUAACUGGCUUAUCUCCCCCUAGAGUCCACAUCGACGGGGAGGUUUGGCUCCUCGAUGUCGGCUCGUCGCUUCCUGGGGCUGUUGUCGGUCCCAUGGGUUGGGCUGUUCGCCCAUUAAUGCGGCUCGCGAGCUGGGUUCUGAACGUCGUGAGACAGUUCGGUCCCUAUCCGUCGCGGGCGCUGGAAAUUUGAGAGGAGCUG
rnacentral:rRNA from 1 species